UUUCUGAGACUCUGAUAUCUAGGGCCUCGUUGACCCUGGAGACCGCUGCUCCCAGAGCCGGCCAGUUCCUAGAGAGAGGAACUGAUUCACUGUGAGCAUGCCUUGCACGCACAAAGCCGCGGACCCAGAGCCCACGCCCCCGCCACCUUCUCCAGCGGCACCCACACUCAGGACCACUGUCUCCUGCCCUCCUCACCCCAGGGCCAGGUACCAGAAAACUAGGUUUUCUGCACCCCAGAGCCCAAUGAAAUUAGCCAAACUGCGGACCCUGCCUUGCCCGUUCUUCCCCGUGAAAACUACGAUAAAGGCUGCUGCCUGUGCUUCUCCCCGCCCUCCGCCUCCUGAUGGACCCUGGUCUCGGCCGUGUGGCCUCCCAGCGUGUGGCACGGUGCACCCCCUCCUCUUGGGAUCGUGAAAACCUACAACGUUAUUGCCACGAGUCAGAGAGAUCGGAAGGUGUUAAAGCUGCCACUGGCAUUCGGCCGUGAUGCCUCACGCAGAGGGGACCAAAAGGUAACGAGACCAAGUUCCUCACACGACUUCAAUUUAAAUUAAACUUCCUUUAAUGAAAUAAAAAACAAACGGUGCAUUGCAUAAUAUCUGUGGUCACAGUAUAAAACAAUACAAUUAGUUCAUGUAACAUCGGGUAUGGA